AACUUUCAACAACGGAUCUCUUGGCUCUCGCAUCGAUGAAGAACGCAGCGAAAUGCGAUAAGUAAUGUGAAUUGCAGAAUUCAGUGAAUCAUCGAAUCUUUGAACGCACCUUGCGCCCCUUGGUAUUCCGAGGGGCAUGCCUGUUUGAGU
rnacentral:rRNA from 1 species